AUGGGAAGAAUGCUGAAGACAUCCUUUAGAGUUUUAUUCAUUUUCUUGUGGCUGCAGACGGACUGGAUCACCCGAGGAGAAAAAAAUGGAUCGGCAUCCUUCCACCCUGAGUGUCCAGGAGGGGAACAGCUUUUUUAUCUUCUGUACUUAUUCAGACAGUGCUUCAGUAUACUUCCUUUGGUAUAAGCAAGAAGCUGGAAAAGGUCCUCAGCUCAUUAUAGAUAUUCGUUCAAAUAAGAUGGAAAACCAAGUUGGAAGAUUCUCUGUUAUACCGAGGAAGGCGGACAAACAGCUCUCCCUGCGCAUCGAAGCCACCCAGCCUGGAGACUCAGCUGUCUACUUCUGCGCAGCGAGUCCACAGUGCUUCCCAGGCACCUGCAAGCUGUGCACAAACCUGCGAGUGGAGCAGCGCCCCCUUCUUUGAAGGGACAGAACUUCUAGCACAGCGUUUGUCAUAUUUGGUACUCAAGUGAAAACUAUUGUGUUGUUUUUAAAAGCACACAAUAAGAAGGUUAGGUUUAAGAUGACCCAGAAAGAACAUUUUAGUGGAUGACUGUUUAGUGGAUUUUUGAGAUUUAGGCUUCGAUAAUGACUUUACAUUUACUAUUCAGGUUCUUCUCAUAGAAAUAAAUCCUGAGU